rnacentral:rRNA from 1 species
UACGUAGGGGGCGAGCGUUGUCCGGAUUUAUUGGGCGUAAAGAGCGUGUAGGCGGCCAGGUAGGUCUGCUGUGAAAACUCGAGGCUCAACCUCGAGACGCCGAUGGAAACCAUCUAACUAGAGUCCGGAAGAGGAGAGUGGAAUUCCUGGUGUAGCGGUGAAAUGCGCAGAUAUCAGGAAGAACACCCGUGGCUAAGGCGGCUCUCUAGUACGGUACUGACGCUGAGACGCGAAAGCGUGGGGAGCGAACAGG